rnacentral:rRNA from 1 species
AGUGAACGCUGGCGGUAGGCCUAACACAUGCAAGUCGAACGGCAGCACAGUAAGAGCUUGCUCUUACGGGUGGUGAGUGGCGGACGGGUGAGGAAUACAUCGGAAUCUACUUUUUCGGGGGGGAUAACGGGGGGAAACUUACGCUAAUACCGCAUACGACCUACGGGUGAAAGCAGGGGAUCUUCGGACCUUGCGCGAUUGAAUGAGCCGAUGUCGGAUUAGCUAGUUGGCGGGGUAAAGGCCCACCAAGGCGACGAUCCGUAGCUGGUCUGAGAGGAUGAUCAGCCACACUGGAACUGAGACACGGUCCAGACUCCUACGGGAGGCAGCAGUGGGGAAUAUUGGACAAUGGGCGCAAGCCUGAUCCAGCCAUACCGCGUGGGUGAUGAAGGCCUUCGGGUUGUAAAGCCCUUUUGUUGGGAAAGAAAAGCAGCAGGUGAAUCCCCCCCUGUUCUGACGGUACCCAAAGAAUAAGCCCCGGCUAACUUCGUG